GAUGAACGCUGGCGGCGUGCCUAAUACAUGCAAGUCGAGCGAACAGACGAGGAGCUUGCUCCUCUGACGUUAGCGGCGGACGGGUGAGUAACACGUGGAUAACCUACCUAUAAGACUGGGAUAACUUCGGGAAACCGGAGCUAAUACCGGAUAAUAUAUUGAACCGCAUGGUUCAAUAGUGAAAGACGGUAUUGCUGUCACUUAUAGAUGGAUCCGCGCCGCAUUAGCUAGUUGGUAAGGUAACGGCUUACCAAGGCAACGAUGGGUAGCCGACCUGAGAGGGUGAUCGGCCACACUGGAACUGAGACACGGUCCAGACUCCGACGGGAGGCCGCAGUAGGGAAUCUUCCGCGAUGGGCGAAAGCCUGACGGAGCAACGCCGCGUGAGUGAUGAAGGUCUUCGGAUCGUAAAACUCUGUUAUUAGGGAAGAACAAAUGUGUAAGUAACUAUGCACGUCUUGACGGUACCUACUCAGAAAGCCCCGGCUAACUACGUG
rnacentral:rRNA from 1 species